CGCGGGCCACCCAGGAUGCAGCCCGCAGGCUGGGCGGCCGUCAGGGAGGCGGCGGCCAGAGACACGCUGGCGGCGCAUCCGCAGUGCAGUCUGUUCACUUCGGCCCUACAGAGCUACAAGCGGGACUCCGCGCUGCGGCCUUUUCCCGCGUCCUAUGCCCGCCACGACUGCAAGGGCUUUGAGGCCCUGCUUGCAGAUGCCAGCAAGUUACCCAACCUGAAAGAGCUUCUCCAGUCCUCUGAAGAUAAAGACAAAGGGGCCUGGGACCUGCUGAGCUGGAUUUUAUCCUCAAAGGUCCUGACAGUCCACAGUGCAGGGAAGUCACAGUUUGAAAAGAUCCAAACGCUGACUGGUGCCCCUCACACUCCUGUCCCUGUGCCGGACUUCCUAUUUGAAAUCGAGUACUCGGACCCAGCGAAUGACAAAUUUUAUGAGACCAAAGGAGAACGAGACCUAAUCUACGCCUUCCAUGGGAGCCGCCUAGAAAACUUCCAUUCCAUCAUCCACAAUGGCCUGCACUGCCACCUGAACAAGACAUCCUUGUUCGGGGAAGGGACCUACCUCACCAGUGAGUUGAGCCUGGCCCUCAUUUAUAGCUCCCAUGGCUAUGGGUGGCAGCGUAGCCUCCUUGGCCCCAUCCUCAGCUGCGUGGCUGUGUGUGAGGUCAUAGACCAUCCAGAUGUCAAGUUCCAAACCAAGAAGAAAGAUUCCAAGGAGAUAGAUCGCAGGAGAGCGAGAAUCAAGCACAGUGAAGGGGGAGACAUCCCUCCAAAGUACUUUGUGGUCACCAACAACCAGCUCCUGCGAGUGAAGUACCUGCUGGUGUACUCACAGAAGCAGGCCAAGAGGGCUUCAAGCCAGCUGUCCUGGUUUUCCAGCCAUUGGUUUACGGUCAUGAUAUUCCUGUACCUGCUGCUGCUGCUCAUAGUGAGUUUCAUCAACUCCUCCACUUUCCAACACUUUUGGAAUCGUGCGAAGAGAUAAUCUUUCUGGGCCUGGUGUGGGGACCGCUUCAACCAUGUGCUUUGUUUUGUACCUCCCAUGCCCCACAUCCAGCCAGGUUGAGCCUGGGGGCCAGUUGGGGACCACAGGACAAUUUUCAUAUGCCAUAAAUGUAUCGAUUGCCUUUGAUGAUGCUCCAGCCACACUCCGGCCAAGGGGACCACUGGGCCCUCAUAAGUUUUGGGGAGCCCUCCUGUCUGCUCCUGCCUAAACAGCCCUAGGGAGUUGGCUUUUCCAUUAGGGCCAAAGGAAAAAGUCCUGCUGCAUUUAAAAACAAAGUGUCCAAGCUGUCAGUGGUAUGUUUACAAUCGCUCCUGGCGGAAGUUGGCCCUUUCUCCAAUGCCUUCUGGGAGGCGGAAAAUGGGUAGUGGGGACGAUAAAUCACUAGGCGGUUGCCUUGUUUUGACUUGAGACGCUCAAGAGGAAUAGUCAUGUUUCUCAUAAAAAUUGGUGGGUAUCAGUUUUUGAAUUUCAUCCACCUUUGUAAGUACAAAACAUUUUCAGUUUUUUCAAAUCAACAAACAGCAUUCUGCUGCAGCUGUAACCCCGUGCCCGACCAUGGAUGAGAAAGGAAGGAGUCAGAGUUCUGAUUAAAAAAUACAAACCUAA